rnacentral:rRNA from 1 species
AGUGAACGCUGGCGGUAGGCCUAACACAUGCAAGUCGAACGGCAGCACAGUAAGAGCUUGCUCUUACGGGUGGCGAGUGGCGGACGGGUGAGGAAUACAUCGGAAUCUACUUUUUCGUGGGGGAUAACGUAGGGAAACUUACGCUAAUACCGCAUACGACCUACGGGUGAAAGCAGGGGAUCUUCGGACCUUGCGCGAUUGAAUGAGCCGAUGUCGGAUUAGCUAGUUGGCGGGGUAAAGGCCCACCAAGGCGCCGAUCCGUAGCUGGUCUGAGAGGAUGAUCAGCCACACUGGAACUGGGACACGGUCCAGACUCCUACGGGAGGCAGCAGUGGGGAAUAUUGGACAAUGGGCGCAAACCUGAUCCAGCCAUACCGCGUGGGUGAAGAAGGCCUUCGGGUUGUAAAGCCCUUUUGUUGGGAAAGAAAAGCAGCAGGUUAAUACCCCGCUGUUCUGACGGUACCCAAAGAAUAAGCACCGGCUAACUUCGUG